rnacentral:misc_RNA from 1 species
GUUGGGUAGGUGAAAAUGCCGUGAUAUUUUGAAUAGAAGAAGACUGAUGAAUAAGAGGACUAGUUUGAGUAGGAUAAGAGGUAAGAUCAAUAAGCAGAUUGAGGGCCGGAUGUACAGAUAGUUGAUUUGGUGGAGAAAAGGGUGAUGAUAAGGAUUAGGAAUUUGCAUUUGAAAUAGGAGAAGAUUCAAGAAGGCGUUUGUACGCAAUCAGGAGUGUUUCGCUAGCUGGGAUAAGGAACAAGUUGCUGAUUUGAAUUAAAAAAUGAUAAAGUUGGGGAAGUAGACAAGUGAUGAGGUGUCAGCAUGUUGUCAGGGAAGUCAUGUGAUGAACUAGAUGCAGAAGUGACAAGUGGUUGAGGUGUCGACGUGGAUAAAUGGGAAGCAUCUGAAGGACUAAAGAAAGAAGCAUUACUUUGGACUGAGGCUUGAGAAGGUUGCCAAAGACUUGCCAUAGUUAACCAAGUUUGCCGAUUGUCCUUGCUAGGUGUUGUCAAAUCUAUGUUGUGAAGUUUCUAGGGAAAGAAUUUUUCAUCAAAUUGCACAUGCCGUGCAACAUAUAUUUUGCCAGACUUUGGAUUUAGACGCCUAUGAGCAAAGUGAACAGGAGAUGCACCAUGAUAAACACACUGUUUACUCCUAAAAGAAAAUUUAAUUUAUUAUAUGGGCGUAAAAGUGGG